UGGGGAAUAUUGCACAAUGGGCGCAAGCCUGAUGCAGCCAUGCCGCGUGUAUGAAGAAGGCCUUCGGGUUGUAAAGUACUUUCAGCGAGGAGGAAGGCGUUGUGGUUAAUAACCGCAACGAUUGACGUUACUCGCAGAAGAAGCACCGGCUAACUCCGUGCCAGCAGCCGCGGUAAUACGGAGGGUGCAAGCGUUAAUCGGAAUUACUGGGCGUAAAGCGCACGCAGGCGGUCUGUCAAGUCGGAUGUGAAAUCCCCGGGCUCAACCUGGGAACUGCAUCCGAAACUGGCAGGCUAGAGUCUCGUAGAGGGGGGUAGAAUUCCAGGUGUAGCGGUGAAAUGCGUAGAGAUCUGGAGGAAUACCGGUGGCGAAGGCGGCCCCCUGGACAAAGACUGACGCUCAGGUGCGAAAGCGUGGGGAGCAAACA
rnacentral:rRNA from 1 species